rnacentral:rRNA from 1 species
GAUGAACGCUAGCGGCAGGCUUAACACAUGCAAGUCGAGGGGCAGCGCGAUGUAGCAAUACAUUGGCGGUGACCGGCGCACGGGUGCGUAACACGUAUGGAACUUACCCUUUACUGGGAGAUAGCCCGGAGAAAUCCGGAUUAAUAUCCCAUAAUAAACGAAGUGGCAUCACUUUGUUUUGAAAGCUCCGGCGGUAAAGGAUGGCCAUGCGCACGAUUAGCUAGUAGGUGAGGUAACGGCUCACCUAGGCUACGAUCGUUAGGGGGCCUGAGAGGGUUAUCCCCCACACUGGUACUGAGACACGGACCAGACUCCUACGGGAGGCAGCAGUGAGGAAUAUUGCGCAAUGGAGGCAACUCUGACGCAGCCAUGCCGCGUGCAGGAAGAAGGCGCUACGCGUUGUAAACUGCUUUUAACCGGGAAGAAACCCUCCGACGUGUCGGAGGUUGACGGUACCGGAGGAAUAAGCACCGGCUAACUUCGUGCCAGCAGCCGCGGUAAAGUCAG